ACUCAUGAAAAUCUUCCUAGCACUUACAUGUUGAGACAGUUUGACCACGCCCACUCCCGAGCUCCAGUCAGAUAAAAAGAAGGACAAUUUCUGCAGACGACACCACAGCUCCUAGUAGCCAGAUAUUUGCUGAUCAAGUCGGAACCUUUCAGUGUUCAAUUCAACCCCUAUCAAGAUGAACAACGCCAUCUUUGUCGUUCUCGCCGUCCUGGCUCUGAUCGCCGCUGCCAGUGCUACGUCAUUCUCCAGCUGUCUCAGCACAUUCAGCAACUGGUACAACGAUUGUAAAAGAAGCUUGGGCCAACAGAAGUGUGACUUGACCAUGAGUGGAUUUGCUCCAGCUUGCUAUUACAGCUAAGUUCUUCAUGCUUCAGGUUUCCUGAACACGUUACAGGCAGUAGACUUCAGAAUAAAAUAUGGCACAAGAUCUC